UCCGUCACAAACUCACAUUAAAAUAAAGCACUUCGUUUUGACGUUCGGCAUAUUUCGAAGCAAAAACCGUUGGAAAACGGCUUAUGAAGACUGAGGAUAGGAAUCAUAAACCACUUAAAGGAACAUUUCUAGUUGUGCUUCAUCCUAGAGCACACAAGGCGCAGUAAUGUGAGUCAGUGUUGCGGCUACUAGUACAGCAAUCACAAAAAUAACUUGACUUAGUCAAGUUUUUAUUUAGCUGAUUCUACUUCAUUACGCCUGGAAAAUAAAGAUAACCAUUUUAACAAGAUAGAAGUAAUGGGCAGGAAAGAACAACAAUACAAGGUGAUGAAAUAAAUAUUGCUAAUUUGGAUCAAUCUGUUGAGACUUCAUUUCUCAGGCAGGAUUCGGCUGCUGGAAUGGACAUUAAUGAUUUGGAAGAAUAAAAAAUUGAAACAGUGAUGCCUAGUACUAGUAGUGUUGCAUCAACAAGCA